rnacentral:rRNA from 1 species
AGCACCGGCUAACUACGUGCCAGCAGCCGCGGUAAUACGUAGGGUGCAAGCGUUAUCCGGAAUUAUUGGGCGUAAAGGGCUCGUAGGCGGUUCGUCGCGUCCGGUGUGAAAGUCCAUCGCUUAACGGUGGAUCCGCGCCGGGUACGGGCGGGCUUGAGUGCGGUAGGGGAGACUGGAAUUCCCGGUGUAACGGUGGAAUGUGUAGAUAUCGGGAAGAACACCAAUGGCGAAGGCAGGUCUCUGGGCCGUUACUGACGCUGAGGAGCGAAAGCGUGGGGAGCGAACAGGAUUAGAUACCCUGGUAGUCCACGCCGUAAACGGUGGAUGCUGGAUGUGGGGCCCGUUCCACGGGUUCCGUGUCGGAGCUAACGCGUUAAGCAUCCCGCCUGGGGAGUACGGCCGCAAGGCUAAAACUCAAAGAAAUUGACGGGGGCCCGCACAAGCGGCGGAGCAUGCGGAUUAAUUCGAUGCAACGCGAAGAACCUUACCUGGGCUUGACAUGUUCCCGACAGCCGUAGAGAUACGGUCUCCCUUCGGGGCGGGUUCACAGGUGGUGCAUGGUCGUCGUCAGCUCGUGUCGUGAGAUGUUGGGUUAAGUCCCGCAACGAGCGCAACCCUCGCCCUGUGUUGCCAGCACGUCAUGGUGGGAACUCACGGGGGACCGCCGGGGUCAACUCGGAGGAAGGUGGGGAUGACGUCAGAUCAUCAUGCCCCUUACGUCCAGGGCUUCACGCAUGCUACAAUGGCCGGUACAACGGGAUGCGACAUGGCGACAUGGAGCGGAUCCCUGAAAACCGGUCUCAGUUCGGAUUGGAGUCUGCAACCCGACUCCAUGAAGGCGGAGUCGCUAGUAAUCGCGGAUCAGCAACGCCGCGGUGAAUGCGUUCCCGGGCCUUGUACACACCGCCCGUCAAGUCAUGAAAGUGGGUAGCACCCGAAGCCGGUGGCCCAACCUUUUGGGGGGAGCCGUCUAAGGUGAGACUCGUGAUUGGGACUAAGUCGUAACAAGGUAGCCGUACCGGAAGGUGCGGCUG